GUUGGGUGUGGUGGCAUAUACCUAUAAUCCCAGCAGCUUGGGAGGCUGAGGCAGGAGGAUCACUAGUUCAAAGCCAGCCUCAGCAAUUUAGUGAGCCCUAAGCAAUUUAGUGAGACCCUGUCUCAA
rnacentral:sRNA from 1 species